UUACUUGCCUUGCUACAAUACCACACACCUGUGGAGAGAUCUGAAAUUGGCAGUUUGGAGAAGGUACCCUUCAAAUCUCAGAGACCUGGAGCAGUUGACCAAAGGAGAAUGAUCUAAAAUUACAGCAGAGCAUUGUAAGAAACUCAUUGAUGGAUACCGGAACGGUUGUUCGCAGUUAUUUUGGCUAAAGGUUGUGCUACCAAGUAUUAGGCUGAAGGUGCCAAUACUUUUGUCGGGCCCUUUUUUAGGAUUUUAUAUAAAAUGUAGCUCAAAGCCGAAGGAAAUGGGUCACAUGUCGGAAGACAAUUGUUCUUUUAAGGCCACUGUAAACAGAGAAGCAAUAUCAGGCGCAUAUCAAGGGAAGAACAUCAGAACCUUCGGAAGAUCAGAGACACAGCUGUCACUAUGAAGACGCUUGGCCUCUUUACAUUCGUCACUCUGAUGUGCCUUGUGUCCACAGGUUUUUUAAACCAGGAAAUGUUGUUUGAUGGAGGACUCUGCGAACUAAUCUAUAGAAUACCCAUUCCUAAAAAGAAGAUAAUAAAUGUGACAGCGACACCAGAUGGCCACAGACACAAAGCAAUUGUAGUCACAACUGUGUGCAACGAAACCAUUUGCCUCAAUUACGAUUGGGAUUGGGCAAAAAAGCUGUUGGCGGAUUUCACGGCAGUUUCUGCCAGCAAGACUUCUGUACCUGCCCCUUACAAUCAGACCGAGUGCAUCAAGGAAGUUGGAAAGCGUUAAGCUUUAAGCAAAUUCUGUUCUUUCCUGUUUAAAAAAAACAGAAAAAAAUCUGAAGUUUGUUUUUCUGUUUUGUUUCACAUGAAGUGCUUAUUUUUGUAUUUUGAACAUUAAACUGUACCGUCUUGUACAUUACGUUCGCAUUUAUAUGGUAUGUUUGUAGUGCUGCUUUAACUAUAAUUCAAAAAACCAGUAUUUGGCUUCUGUACUCCUGCUUGAAAAAAUGUUAUUUUGCUCUGAUCUGCUAGCAUUUGACUAUAUAUUGAGUUUUAUUAGUUAGCGACAUUAAAUGGCCACCAUUUACAAUUGAAUAACUAAAUUGUGGCAUUCAAACCUAAAAUAAAAAGUGGUUUAUUUCAAUAUAUUUACCAAAAAAGUUUCUUAAUUUUGUGUUCAGGCAUACUGUAGAAUAGCACCAAUGCUUCCUUGAUGCAUGUAUGUAAGUUUCUGGCUUCAACUGUAAAUAUAUACGGUGGUACCGCUACUUACGAAAUUAACUGAUUCCAGAAGUAGUUUCGUAACCUGAAAAUUUUGUAAGUACAGUUUUUUCAUGUAAAUGCCUAAUCGGUUCCAAGCCCCCAAAAAUUCAGACAGAAGUCUUUUAUAAUGCAUAAAAAUGCAUCUAAACAUGU